rnacentral:rRNA from 1 species
GAUGAACGCUGACAGAAUGCUUAACACAUGCAAGUCAUUGGCGAAGCUGCGCUUGCGCAGUCUAGCCAAGGCGGACGGGUGAGUAACGCGUAAGGAACUUGCCCUGCAGACAGGGAUAACAGACGGAAACGACUGAUAACACCUGGUAUUGUCAGGCUGGCGCAUGCCGGCCUGAUGAAAGGAGACGCUGCAGGAGGGCCUUGCGUCCUAUUAGCUAGUUGGUGGGGUAACGGCCCACCAAGGCGAUGAUAGGUAGCCGGCCUGAGCGGGUGAACGGCCACGAGGGGACUGAGAUACGGCCCUUACUCCUACGGGAGGCAGCAGUGGGGAAUAUUGGACAAUGGGGGCAACCCUGAUCCAGCAAUUCUGUGUGCACGGAGAAGGUUUUCGGAUUGUAAAGUGCUUUCAGCAGGGAAGAAGAAAGUGACGGUACCUGCAGAAGAAGCGACGGCUAACUACGUG